UGCAGCCUUGUCAAAUUCAGUUUGUUCUUUAAAGUGGACCUCACUGGCCAAAAUGGCUGCCAUAGAGACUGUAGUCCAUGGCCCCACCUCCCACGUUACUAAAGCCCUAA